AGGGAGGAGGAGUGGGAAGGGGGUUGGCGGCGGCGACUCGCUCGCUCGCCCUCACUGCCGGCCGUCCCCGCUCCAGGCACCAUGUUCCGCGCGGGGCCCCCCAGCCACACCCUCCUUCGGCUCCCUCUGCUGCAGUUGCUGCUGCUGCUGCUGCAGGCCGUGGGGAGGGGGCUGGGCCGCGCCAGCCCGGCCGGGGGCCCCCUGGAAGAUGUGGUCAUCGAAAGGUACCACAUCCCCAGGGCCUGUCCCCGGGAAGUGCAGAUGGGGGAUUUUGUGCGCUACCACUACAACGGCACUUUCGAGGAUGGCAAGAAGUUUGACUCGAGCUAUGACCGCAGCACCUUGGUGGCCAUCGUGGUGGGCGUGGGGCGCCUCAUCACCGGCAUGGACCGAGGCCUCAUGGGCAUGUGUGUCAACGAGCGACGGCGCCUCAUUGUGCCUCCCCACCUGGGCUAUGGCAGCAUCGGCGUGGCGGGGCUCAUUCCUCCGGAUGCCACCCUCUACUUCGACGUGGUCCUGCUGGAUGUGUGGAACAAGGCAGACACCGUGCAGGUGAGCACCUUGCUGCUCCCGCCCCACUGCCCCCGCAUGGUCCAGGACAGCGACUUUGUGCGCUACCACUACAAUGGCACGCUGCUGGACGGCACCGCCUUCGACACCAGCUAUAGCAGGGGUGGCACUUAUGACACCUACGUUGGCUCUGGCUGGCUGAUCAAGGGCAUGGACCAGGGGCUGCUGGGCAUGUGUCCUGGAGAGAGAAGGAAGAUCACCAUCCCUCCAUUCCUGGCCUAUGGCGAGAAAGGCUAUGGGACUAUGAUCCCCUCGCACGCCUCCCUGGUCUUCCAUGUCCUACUGGUCGACCUCCACAACCCAAAGGACACUGUCCAGCUGGAGACGCUGGAGCUGCCGCCCGGCUGUGUGCGGAGAGCCGUGGCCGGGGACUUUAUGCGUUACCACUACAACGGCUCGCUGAUGGACGGCACCCUCUUCGAUUCCAGCUACUCCCGCAACCACACCUAUGACACCUACGUGGGGCGGGGCUACAUCAUCCCCGGGAUGGACCAGGGGCUGCAGGGCGCCUGCAUGGGAGAGCGCCGGAGGAUCACCAUCCCCCCCCACCUCGCCUACGGGGAGAACGGGACUGGAGACAAGAUCCCUGGCUCCGCUGUGCUCAUCUUCCAUGUCCACAUCAUCGACUUCCACAACCCCGCGGAUCCAGUGGAAGUCAAGACCCUGUCCCCGCCCCCCGAGACCUGCAACGAGACCGCCAAGCCUGGGGACUUCGUUAGAUACCACUACAACUGCUCUCUGCUGGAUGGCACCAAGCUCUUCUCCUCGUGGGUCCGGGGCGGGGCCAGGGCUGGGCAGCCACGACUACGGGGCCCCCCAGGAGGCGACUCUGGGGGCCCACAAGGUGAUCGAAGGCCUGGACAUAGGCCUGCAGGGCAUGUGUGUGGGAGAGAGGCGGCAGCUCGUGGUCCCCCCACACCUGGCACACGGGGAGAGUGGAGCCCGGGGGGUCCCUGGCAGUGCUGUGCUGCUGUUUGAGGUGGAGCUGGUGUCUCGGGAGGAGGGGCUGCCCACAGGCUACCUGUUUGUGUGGCAUGAGGACCCUCCCGCCAACCUGUUCGAAGACCUGGACCUCAACAAGGAUGGCGAGGUCCCCCUGGAGGAGUUCUCCACCUUCAUCAAGGCUCAAGUCAGUGAGGGCAAAGGACGCCUCAUGCCUGGGCAGGACCCGGAGAAAAUCAUAGCGGACAUGUUCCAGAACCAGGACCGCAACCAGGACGGCAAGAUCACUGCCGAGGAGCUCAAGCUGAAGUUGGACGAAGACCAGGAGCGGGUCCAUGAGGAGCUCUGAAGGGCGGGGGCCUGGGCCCAAACGCAAAGGCCCACUUCUAGGGGGGACAGUGGGCAUUGGGGCUGACCCUCCAAGAGUCACCCUCCCCUCUGCUGGGAUAGCAUCUGGGAGCGUCUAAAAAGUGGUCAGAGGAGACAACUCUGGUCUUCCCACGAGCCCGAGAGUAAAAUCCACAGCACAGACCUCAAUUCGGUUUUCUCUUCCAACCCCAAAUCCCUUCCUUAACAGUUUGGGGUUACAAAGCCAAUGUGGGGAGUGGUGGGGUCUGGGGGUCGAAUGGGCCACUGCUGGCCCCUCACCCCCACCUCCCCUCCGUGUCACCGGACACUGAGCAAGGCGAACUCAUUGUUUCUCUCCCCAGACUUCCCUUUAUCUGUACUUCUCCUCACCAUCCACAACCCCCACCUCCAGCCCCCAUUCCUCUGUGGUGGCAGCUCUCCAGGAGCAUGACCCAGGGCUGGUGGGACCCCCAGCCUUCCUCCCUCAGCUCUGGCUGGCUCCUGGGAAGGGGGUGGCUCCAGGAAGGCAGCCCUACCUCACCUGUCCUGUCCCCCUUCACUGCGUCCAAUGGCGGCUGGGGUGACCCUGGGGUGCUGCAGGUCAGGGCUGGGCUUAGUGUCACCUUUUAUCCCUGAAGAAGGCUGCUUUCUCUAAGGGAUCAAGGAGGAGGAAGAAAAUGAAGCGAGGGUAAGGAAACCUACUUAGAUGGGCCUCAGGGCCACGGAAUCCUUGGUUCAGGCCUGAGAUCAACUUGGAAGAGGGGCUCAUUGGGGGCUGAGGGGUGGGGGGCGUGGGCAGAACUCUGCACACUCAAAAGCCUAAACUGGUGCCAGAUCGCCUUCUCCUUUGUGCCAAAUAAAAGACGACACCAACGGC